AGCUUUAUAGCUAGCCCGCUCAAACAACUUCAACAAACCCCUGUUAAUAACCCCUAAAUACACUAGUAUCUCAUUAAACAAACCAUUUUUCCCCCUUAGUAUAGGUGAUAGAAACGGGACCCCCGGCGCAAUAGAGAAAGUACCGCAAGGGAAUGCUGAAAGAGAAAUGAAAGAACUCAGUGAAGCCUAAAAAAGCAGAGAUUAAAACUCGUACCUUUUGCAUCAUGAUUUAGCAAGUGUAAUCCAAGCAAAGAGUGCUUUAGUUUGAUAUCCCGAAACUAGGUGAGCUACUCCAAGACAGCCUAUUAAUAGGGCACACCCGUCUCUGUGGCAAAAGAGUGGGGGGAGCUUUGAGUAGAGGUGAUAGACCUACCGAACCUAGUUAUAGCUGGUUGUCCAAGAAAUGAAUAGAAGUUCAGCCUCCUGGCUUCUCUUUUCACCUUAGUUUAACCCCUAUCGAUGUACUUAAGAAACCAGGAGAGUUAGUCAAAGGGGGUACAGCCCCUUUGAACCAAGACACAACUUUAUCAGGAGGGUAAAGAUCAUAAUACCUAAAGGAAGAUAUUUGGGUGGGCCUAAAAGCAGCCAUCCCCUUAGAAAGCGUUAAAGCUCAAAUAUAACACUAAACCCUUCUUAUUCUGAUCACCAAAUCUUAUUCCCCUAAACAUAAUGGACCGCCCCAUGCACGCAUGGGGGUGACUAUGCUAAUAUGAGUAAUAAGAGAGCCUCCGGCUCUCUCCCUGCACACAUGUAUGUCGGAACGGACAUCCCGCCGACCAUUAACGACCCCAAACAAAGAGGGCACUGAAUAAUAGAUUAAACAACAAGAAAAGCAUUCAGUAAACAACCGUUAACCCAACACAGGUGUGCCCACAGGGAAAGGCUAAAAGAAAGAGAAGGAACUCGGCAAACACAUUAAAGCCUCGCCUGUUUACCAAAAACAUCGCCUCUUGCAAACUUAAUAAAUAAGAGGUCCCGCCUGCCCUGUGACUAUUAGUUUAACGGCCGCGGUAUUUUGACCGUGCGAAGGUAGCGCAAUCACUUGUCUUUUAAAUGAAGACCUGUAUGAAUGGCAUAACGAGGGCUUAACUGUCUCCUCUCUCCAGUCAAUGAAGUUGAUCUUCCCGUGCAGAAGCGGGAAUACAAACAUAAGACGAGAAGACCCUAUGGAGCUUUAGACACCAAGGUAGAUCAUGUUAAUAACCCUGAAUAAGGACUAAACCAGAUGGAACCUACCCUAAUGUCUUUGGUUGGGGCGACCGCGGGGAAUUAAAAAACCCCCACGUGGAAUGGGAGCACCCCUCCUACAACUAAGAGCCACAGCUCUAGUAAACAGAAAUUCUGACCAAUAAGAUCCGGCAGUGCCGAUCAACGGACCGAGUUACCCUAGGGAUAACAGCGCAAUCCUCUUUUAGAGCCCAUAUCGACAAGGGGGUUUACGACCUCGAUGUUGGAUCAGGACAUCCUAAUGGUGCAGCCGCUAUUAAGGGUUCGUUUGUUCAACGAUUAAAGUCCUACGUGAUCUGAGUUCAGACCGGAGUAAUCCAGGUCAGUUUCUAUCUAUGCUGUGCUCUUUUCUAGUACGAAAGGACCGAAAAGAAGAGGCCCAUGCUCAAGGCACGCCUCCCCCCUACCUACUGAAGUCAACUAAAGUAGGCAAAGGGGCAUGCCCCCCCUGCCUAAGAAAAAGGCAU
rnacentral:rRNA from 1 species